GCUGCUUUUCGUGCGGGUGAGAGACUCCGAGCCCCUUCACUGUCUUUUUUUUGCCCUGUUAAAUCUCACGACUUGGGCUUUAGGGGUAUCCUAGGGUAGUCCUGGCCUCCGCAUCCGUCACUGAGAGCCGACCUCGGUGCUCGGCGUUGCGCGGCUGUGUCCGAGAUGGUGAAGCUGUUCAUUGGAAACCUGCCCCGGGAGGCCACAGAGCAGGAGAUCCGCUCACUCUUCGAGCAGUAUGGGAAGGUGCUGGAGUGUGACAUCAUUAAGAACUACGGCUUUGUGCACAUAGAGGACAAGACAGCGGCCGAGGAUGCCAUACGCAACCUGCACCACUACAAGCUGCACGGGGUGAACAUCAACGUGGAAGCCAGCAAGAAUAAGAGCAAAACAUCCACGAAGUUGCAUGUAGGCAACAUCAGUCCUACUUGUACCAACAAGGAGCUUCGGGCCAAGUUUGAGGAGUAUGGUCCGGUCAUUGAAUGUGACAUCGUGAAAGAUUAUGCCUUUGUACACAUGGAGCGGGCAGAGGAUGCAGUGGAGGCCAUCAGGGGCCUUGACAACACAGAGUUUCAAGGCAAACGAAUGCACGUGCAGUUGUCCACCAGCCGGCUUAGGACUGCGCCCGGGAUGGGAGACCAGAGCGGCUGCUAUCGGUGCGGGAAAGAGGGGCACUGGUCCAAAGAGUGUCCGGUAGAUCGUUCGGGCCGAGUGGCAGACUUUACCGAGCAAUAUAAUGAGCAAUAUGGAGCAGUGCGUACACCUUACGCCAUGAGCUAUGGGGAUUCAUUGUAUUACAACAACGCGUACGGAGCGCUCGAUGCCUACUACAAGCGCUGCCGUGCUGCCCGGUCCUAUGAGGCAGUGGCUGCUGCAGCUGCCUCUGCGUAUAAUUACGCAGAGCAGACCCUGUCCCAGCUGCCACAAGUCCAGAAUACAGCCAUGGCCAGUCACCUCACCUCCACCUCUCUCGAUCCCUACGAUAGACACCUGUUGCCGACUUCAGGAGCUGCUGCUGCUACAGCUGCUGCUGCUGCAGCAGCCGCUGCUGCUGUUACUGCAGCUUCCACUUCAUAUUACGGGCGCGAUCGGAGCCCCCUGCGUCGCGGCCCAGUCCCCACUGUUGGAGAGGGCUACGGUUACGGGCAUGAGAGUGAGUUGUCCCAAGCUUCGGCGGCCGCGCGGAAUUCCCUGUACGACAUGGCCCGGUAUGAGCGGGAGCAGUAUGCGGAUCGGGCGCGGUAUUCAGCCUUUUAAAGCUUGAGGGCUCCUAGUCCUGGGAGUCAAUCUGAUUCCAUUUGUGCCUGGAAAAGCAAACAGUGGUGUGAUGAAUCUUGGGUCACACCUGUGUGCUGUAAUUGAACCAAACCUGGAAACCAGACAUUCAGACCCAGGUGUGCCGUUUCUCAGAGCCUUCGUUGAAAUUCCUAGGUGUGUGACAUUACUAAGGUCUGCAAGGUUCCUGUUCUGCUUCAUGCUGUGUGAAAGGUCUGAUGGUGGGAUGUGUGUGGGCUGAAAUUCCGAGCUGCGGUUGUGCAUGAGAAUACACCCUUCGUGGUACCCCAUCUCCGGGACGUUCUCAGCUCUGUGCAUUCAGUCCCCCAGGAACCGUGGACCUUAAUUUACCUUGUUAAGUUCAGACCACCUCUUCUUUCCUCUCUCCUGCCCAUUUCCGUGUUCUUUCUGUCCUUCAAUACUUCUGUAGCUUCCCAUCAUGUUCUGUUCUCCCAGCAGGUCUCAUUGUGUGCAGAAACUGGUGGGGGUUGUGCUGUAUCCCCACUUCCUGCUUCCAGUGGGUGUUGUGAGAGUGUCACUGCUCCUGAGUCUUUUUGACCCAAAGGCUUAUGGCAGGUAGACACAUAGCGUUGGAUCACUUUUUUCUUUCCGGUGAAAUAAAUGGUUUUUCAACUUAG